UGGGGAAUAUUGCACAAUGGGCGCAAGCCUGAUGCAGCCAUGCCGCGUGUGUGAAGAAGGCCUUCGGGUUGUAAAGCACUUUCAGCGGGGAGGAAGGCGAUAAGGUUAAUAACCUUGUCGAUUGACGUUACCCGCAGAAGAAGCACCGGCUAACUCCGUGCCAGCAGCCGCGGUAAUACGGAGGGUGCAAGCGUUAAUCGGAAUUACUGGGCGUAAAGCGCACGCAGGCGGUUGAUUGAGUCAGAUGUGAAAUCCCCGGGCUUAACCCGGGACUUGCAUCUGAUACUGGUCAGCUAGAGUCUUGUAGAGGGGGGUAGAAUUCCAUGUGUAGCGGUGAAAUGCGUAGAGAUGUGGAGGAAUACCGGUGGCGAAGGCGGCCCCCUGGACAAAGACUGACGCUCAGGUGCGAAAGCGUGGGGAGCAAACAGG
rnacentral:rRNA from 1 species